GCCAUCUGGCUGCUUCUGUACCUCUCUGGGGACUCUCAACUUCCCUGCACUGAGACACCCACACCUGGCUCUUUCUGCCCUAUAGCUCUUGCACCGUAAUGAGUCAAGGGCAGUACUGAGAUUUCACAAGUUCCCAGGCCUUCCCCAGGGGAAUUGGAGGUGCGUGUCUCCUCUGCUCUCAGUCCCCAGAUCCAGAGAGGGGUCUGCUUCUCCUUCCCUUCCCACAAGCACCAAGGCUCUCUCUUCUUCUCUCACUUCUUCUUUCAAUCCCCUCCAAAAGUUAUCUAGCCACAGGGCAAUAAGAACUGGCUUUGACUGAUUUGCAUUCUUUCAAAUAUUUUCCUGUGCUAAGACCUAAGCUGCUGGAAGUCAAAAGCAGAUUAUUUGUAUUUUUGCUCUUCUGCUGCCUAUACUAGAAGAUGGAAGAAGGAGAGGAGGAAAUGCCAGAGAAAGAAGCAUGGAUAACAUCGCAGAAUACCACACCCUACCCAGAUCAAGCACCUCCCCCCGAACCUUGGCUCCUUACGAGGACUGCUGGGGCCACAGCGAUAGCAUGAGAAGCAAUCAGGGCUUGGGACCCAAAAAGAACCACGGAGACUCCCCAAUGGUCCCACAUUUAUUCUCUUCCACGUGGUCUGGAUAGAAAACUAGAGAGAGUGUGGACAGCACUUGCCUCCGCUGAAAAAGUAACUCUCACCCUCUUCCCCCAACUCAGACUGUUCCAGAACAACCAGAGGCGUAGAGCCACACACUCCUCUCAGCCAGCCUGUGAGUGAGGCUGAGUUGCACUAAAGAGAUUGUGCAGGCGCCGCCAGCUUCCCAAAGGCAGACUCUUCCCACAGCUGCAAACACUCCUCUAAGAACUCACCCACCCUCGCAGCUUGACCAACGUUCUCUGCAACUUCCUAGAAGAUGAAAACAUACCCUCCAGCCCUAGCUGUUCUCAGCUGAGCCCACUGUUCCCUAGUGGAUCCGCCUUCCAAUGCCACCACCUUCCCUUCUACGAAGUCCCAGCCAGGGGAUGAACUACAGAGGCAGCCCCUUCCCCAUCACCAUUACUGUCACUGACUGGCUGUGGGCCUUCAUGCUCUUCCGGGUUCUGGUUGGACGGUAGCCAGGGAAAAUGCAGGGGGUGGGGUGCCGUGACAGGGAAGUCACCUGCAGCCCAGAUCUGCUGCGUCCCAGGGUGUGCACUAGAAAGUGAAUUGUUUCUUGUUCUUUUUUUUCUUUGUUAUAUGCUCUAGGGAAUAAAAGGAAUUUUCUUCCUUACACCCACCUCACCCCCAGCGGGACCAGACUCUUCCUGUCUGAGAUUUCCUCACUCCCUGUGGGGUUCAGGGGGUACAGACACAGGUUUUGGGGGUUUUAAUCUCUGGAAAGAAGAGAACUUGUCAGGACCUCCAAGAGACCUCCCUAAACAGAACCUGUUUUUGAAUAACCUGAGGGUAUUUCUCUAGGUCAUCCCUGAGGGCAGGGGAGGGUCAGGCUCUCGGUUUCAAAGAUAGGCUGGGGAUGGGGGGCCUACCUGGACUGGAACAGGAUGCACUUUUGAGGGUCCUGUGAGUGGUGGGCACUGGGACCUCACCUACCUGGGAGGACCCCUGUGGAGACAGUGCCAGGAGCCCCUUGUGGCCUUGCUCGGGAUCACAACCUCUGAGAAACCUUCCAGUGGGCUGGGAGAACCUGGGCCAGGAGUUACCGGUGGUGAGUGAAUGGCCCUGGCCUGAUCUGCCUGAGGCCUCACCUCCCAAGGCCUCACCUGCCCAUUCUUGAGUUGCUUACCCCCUGAAUCUCAACAAAGUCCCCGGGAAGAGAAGAGUGGCCCUGGGUGACCGCUGGGGGAUUCUUGCCAAGUGGUCAAGUUGAAACCAGGUGGGAUUUCAUGUGGAAACAUAAAGAAAGAAAACGUUUCUUUGCAUCUCAAGUCUAAGGGUGGAUUCAUGUUUGGCAAAUGUUAUCCCACCUCUCCUAUGAUUCCCAUUUUACAGAUGAGGAAAUUAAGGCUCAAGGAAAGUGAGUAACCCCCAAGUUCACUGAGUACAGUCAAACGCAGCUUUGUCUGACUACAAAGAACAUGCUUUUUCAGCCUCCCCACAUAGUUAGCAGAUAUCAGUUAGCACAAAGCUAUUUAGUGGCAGGGUCCAGGCCAACAUCUGGGACCAUGCUGGUUUCAGAAAUGGGGCGAUUCUCUCUGGAGUCAUCCUCUUGGGAACAGACUGGCCCCAGAAGUUCUUCUAGACCUGCAACUGGAUGCCCUCAGCUCUCUAAGUCACUGUCCCCCACCUGUGGAGUCGGUACAGUGAGACAGGAUUUAUCCUUCUCAUGAAAAUGUUGAGAAUGACAUGAGAAAAUGUGCACAGAAGCACUUUAGAAAUUAAAAGUGAUUGUGUUAGGCUAAUAAUGCCCCCACCGAAAUAUAUCUACAUCCUCAUUCUUGAAACUUGAGACUGUUACCUUAUAUGGCAUUAAAAAGGAUGAACCCUUACAGAUAUGAUGUGACUAAAUUAAGGAUCUUGAGACAGACAUUAUCUUGGAUUAUUUGGAUGGUCCUUAAACUCAAGCACAUGCAUCCUCAUCUGAGGGGUCAGAGGAAGAUUUUAUACACAGACACAGAGGAGAAGGAGGUGUGACCACAGAGGCAGAGCCUGGGGUGACAUGGCCACAAGCCAAGGACUACCAGCAGCCACCCCAGCUGGAGGAGGUAAGGAAUGACUUCUUGCUUGGAACCUCCAGAGAAAGCACAGCUCUGCAGGUACCUUGAUUCCAGCCCAGUGAUAUAUGUAUUAGUCCAUUUUCGCACUGCUAAUAAAGGCAUACCUGAGACUGGGUAAUUUAUUCAGGAAAGAGGUUUAGUGGACUUACAGUUACACUUGGCUGGGGAGGCCUCACAAUCAUGGCGCAAGGCAAGAAGGAGCAAGUCACAUCUUACAUGGAUGGCAGCAGGCAAAGAGAGCUUGUGCAGAGAGGAGACCCCUGUUUUAAAAACCAUGAGAUCUCAUCAGACUCACUCACUAUCAUGAGAACAGCAGGGGAAC
rnacentral:lncRNA from 1 species